rnacentral:rRNA from 1 species
AGUGAACGCUGGCGGUAGGCCUAACACAUGCAAGUCGAACGGCAGCACAGUAAGAGCUUGCUCUUACGGGUGGCGAGUGGCGGACGGGUGAGGAAUACAUCGGAAUCUACUUUUUCGUGGGGGAUAACGUAGGGAAACUUACGCUAAUACCGCAUACGACCUACGGGUGAAAGCAGGGGAUCUUCGGACCUUGCGCGAUUGAAUGAGCCGAUGUCGGAGUAGCUAGUUGGCGGGGUAAAGGCCCACCAAGGCGACGAUCCGUAGCUGGUCUGAGAGGAUGAUCAGCCACACUGGAACGGAGACACGGUCCAGACUCCUACGGGAGGCAGCAGUGGGGAAUAUUGGACAAUGGGCGCAAGCCUGAUCCAGCCAUACCGCGUGGGUGAAGAAGGCCUUCGGGUUGUAAAGCCCUUUUGUUGGGAAAGAAAAGCAGCAGGUUAAUACCCCGCUGUUCUGACGGUACCCAAAGAAUAAGCACCGGCUAACUUCGUG